rnacentral:tRNA from 1 species
GACCGCUUAGCUCAGUUGGUCAGAGCGUUCGGCUUACAUCCGAAAGGUCGGGGGUUCGAACCCCUCAGCGGUCACAA